ACAUUCUGUUUUAAAACUGUUGCACAAUAUACUUCUGGUCAUGUGCACUGUGGUAUGGUGCAACCACUUUCACACUCAAACACACAACAAAGCCAAGGUUUUAUGUUUUAGUGCUUGAUAGCUCUUUUUCCUUCUGUACAUUUUUGCUACUGUCUUACCAGGGAUUGCUGGCAAAAACAAAUCUGUUUCCUACUGCCACAUUCCCAGCUUGUCUGUACUGCCCUGGAGUCUGCCCUAAUGGACAGUGCACUGCUAGUCUACAGCGAACUCCCUCAGCUGUGCUCCAGCCCCCAUUCUGCCUCUAACUAAGGUACAGUCCUGUCCCUCAAGGCUGCCCUUGUGAGCUCCUAUGUGUCAUUUCUCCCCCAAACUACGGCUGUUGUUCCCCUCUCUCUUCUGCAGUUCACCGAAAUAUGCUAUCUGACACUGCUGUGCUCAGUGUAGAGGAACUACUGUGUAUGGCUUUGGUCUGCCACCUAAAAACAUUUUACAUACUCCAAUGAAGGAUUGAAACUCAGGUUUUUCAGUUGUUAAAAAGAACGUUUCAUCAUUGUAUGCUCUUGUUAGAUUAGAUUAGAUAGACAGAUCAAUCUUUCAAAUGUCAUAUUUCAAGAACCAAGGAAAUGUAGAUAAGUUGCUGUGACAACAGCUCUUUUAUUUUUGUCAUAUAUUGCAUGACUCCACUAAUCUUAUCUUUAACUAAGUAGUAGAAAUCAUUGAGCUCUUCCAAAAAUCAGGUUCAGAUUUACUAAAAUCACACUCUGGCCCUAAAAUCCAAUAAUGAUGUCCAAAUGGAGAUCAGAUUUAAUUUCCCUUAACAAAAUCAAAUCUUAUUCAUUUUUAUGUAUGUAUAAAUAGUUAUAUACAUAUAAUCUACACUUGUGUUUAAGCACCAUUAGUUUCAGACCACCUCUGACUGUGGUUUGACUGAAUGUAUUUCACCCUGCAAGUUUUGAGAUUAGAUUUUUUUCCUGAACUAUAAAUGGACAAGAAAAUCUGCUUCAUUUGAUCUGGAUCUGAUUCAACAACUCAGUGGUCCAGAGUCAAGCAUUCACCAUAUAAAUCAAUUCUAAAUUCUGACAGUUAAGACUGACAAUCUGGUCAAUGAUUUGCAUGUAAUUAUUCCAACAUAAGGUUGGGUGAAACUUGUCUUCUCAAGAUUUCUAUGAAAGCAUCUGAAAGGAUAUACGCUAAACAGAAAUAUUUGCAGUGAAACAACAGCUGUAUUUCUUUGAUGGUUAAUGUUCUGUUUUUCAUUGGGCUCAACAGCUCCUGGACCGUAUACGUACCUUUUGUUGAUAUUAAUGCUCAUGACAAGGAUUGAUACCCACAAAUCCAUUAUGAUACAGUUAGGCUAUGUGAAUACUAUACUGUAGCAUGCAAGGUGGACUGCACUUCCAUGUACAGUAUGUGAGUGAUGUGGCUUCGCCCUAUAAUACUGUGUGUGUGUGUGUACUUCUGUUAUCACUUUGAGUCUGUGUGUUAUGUGUAAUUGCCUGUGUGUAGUUUCCUAUCUGUUUAGCACGUUUGUCCACCCUUACACAAUGUGUGAUGGAGAGAUUAGAGCCCCUUAGCAUUCCAGUCCAUCUGUAUUCAGUGAUUCCCCUAUAUGUGUCCUUCAAUAAACAGCAUCGGGCCAAAGAGAAGGCCUGCGUAUUGCUCAAUUCGUGUCCGAAGUGUCAGAAGUGGGAUGGAGGAGAUGACACUGCUCGGGGACAUUGAAGAUCUUCCUAACGAACUGCAGCAGGGUGGAGCACAGGCCGACCGACGGGCAUUAUUCCGAGAGGCUUAAUGAGGCUUAAUGAGGCUACACCCGGCCGUGUCCCCAACCGAACUCAGCAGGAAGAAGCGGCGGAUGGCACCAGCGUUCCACAACCCGGGAAGAUGAGAGGGGAGCAAGUCUCCUGCUCCAGCGCCGUGCCAGGACCCGGGGACCAGGACCAGGACCAGGACCAGGACCAGGACCCGGGGACCAGGACCAGCCCCUGCUCCGAGUGCCAGCCAGCUGGGUGCCGCCAUCGUGACAAUGGAGGACCACAAAACUACCUUGCUCCAGGAGAGGGGCCACUUGAGACCUACCUGGUACGAGUGCAGCUGGCAGCGAGCUUCAUCGGCUGGUCAUCUGAGGAGACAGGGGUCCAGGUCACACUUGCAAAUCGCUUAAAUUGUUGAUGACUGGCGGGUGAACUGGCCAGCGAUUUAGAGGGAACUCCAGCACCAGUUCGGCCAAUAGAUGUCUCCUGACGCCUGUGACAACGUAUUCAUGGGAGGCAGGCGUCAGUGACGAAGAAGAGUGAAUUUGGUGAGGCGAGCGAAAAAGUUGGGCAAAGCUGUAUCCUAUGCAGACGACAAGCAAAUUGCAUCCAAUGACAGACGAGUAAAUAAACUGACCUGGGUUCACCAUAGAUGGUUUGAAAAUUGAGGACUCAUGUUGUUUGGUUGUUUAUUUUAAAGCAACAUUAUGUAACAAUUUUACCUUAAAAUAACAGCUUCAAAAUUAUUUUGGUGGUACACUGACUUUUAAUACAGAGAAUGGUGUCUGUGCCACUGCCACAGCACGCCUGGUACGCCUGGUAUUGCACUAGGUAACCUUGGUGGACAGGGUGCAAUGCUUCUUGUGAGAACUACGUAAUGCUUUAUGGCACCACCUCACACAAUAACUAGACCCUUCUGCUAGCUAUAAGAAGAUGCUAGCGCAGUGUUCUCUGUAUGGACAUCAUGCAGAGGUGACAAAAAAAAAACGACGAAGACAUUGUCGGAGGAAGUGGGGAAGAGAAAAAGAGAGAGUAACCCAUGAAGAGAAUGAACAAGAGUCAGUCUCGGACUAGUUUUUACUCCUUGGUGAGAGCUAAAAGAGACAAAAGGAUGCAAGUAAAAUUUGGAUUAUUUCUGUUGGAGUAGUAAGUAAUAACUUAUAAGCUGUCUUGCUAUGUCUUGUGUUGCGCUUGCUUGGUGUUUGGCUGUGUUAGGAAAGUUGUCGACUUGCUAAUUUUUCAUCUUAAACAUCCCUGCCAAUGUUAUUUAUGAAAGAAUGUGACGUAGGCUGUAACUUUAUCUGUGACAUUUCUGUCUCACGGAGAAAGCUAAGAAAACAAUGUCUAUAAGUUCAAAACGCAAGUCAUUCUUCAUUUGUUCUUCUUUUGGAUAUGUAAGCAUUCAUCGCUGAUGUCACAAUAAACAAAACUAUGCAGAGUCAUAUUUGUGUAAAAUCAACAAAGCUUGUCAACAAAUACACGUGCACUACUGUCCAUUAGGGGGGUCUCAAAGCACGAUUUGUAUUCACAACAGUGGUGUAAAAGUGAACUACACUUCAGUAGCUCAAUAGCAAAAAACACCAAUUCUCGAAUAAUGGAGCUUUAAGAAAAGGUUGGAGGGCCAUAAGGGAUUGUUGUAGAUAUUUACAGUAUAUGUAGGCUUACUUCAGGAGGAUGACAGUUUUUACAUAAACAGGUGAUUGGCUAAUAUGCUAGCUCACUAGCAAGCUAGUUCAGUCUGUUUCAUGUUUUCACACCCUGCUACACACCCACAUGAAGCAAAGAGAGCCUACAUGUAGAUUCAUGUUUAUUUGUUUGUGUGAUCCACCAGUUUAGUUACAUAUUAUAGUGUUACAUCAACAACUUUACCGCACAACGGAGGUGACAACAGUGAAUGCUCACUUAAAGGUACAGUUUGUGAUUCUGGUUGCUGAUAUUUUGCAAAAGGUUGUUAAUAUUUGAGCUUAACAGCCAAUCAAAUUACACCCCUCCCUUCCAUGCUCAUGAAACAACGUGUUGAUUGGCUGAAAUAAGCUUGGUCCAAGAUACCUUUGUUUCCCAUUUACAGAGCAAGAGCCAGUGGUUAUUUACCUAAAUAAAUAUUUCACUCACACAAGAUUAUUUGGGGUAGUGCAUGAUUAUUAUUUUUUUAUAUCAAUUACAUUUCAAUAUAAUUACCUUUUUACACAAAAUAUCAAUAAAACACACAAAAUUGAAACACACAAGCA
ensembl:lncRNA